CAGCCGCCGCGGUAAUACGAAGGGUGCAAGCGUUAAUCGGAAUUACUGGGCGUAAAGCGUGCGUAGGCGGUUUGUUAAGUCUGCUGUGAAAUCCCCGGGCUCAACCUGGGAAUGGCAGUGGAUACUGGCAAGCUAGAGUGUGUCAGAGGAUGGUGGGAUUCCCGGUGUAGCGGUGAAAUGCGUAGAGAUCGGGAGGAACAUCAGUGGCGAAGGCGGCCAUCUGGGACAACACUGACGCUGAGGCACGAAAGCGUGGGGAGCAAACAGGAUUAGAUACCCCUGUAGUCCCUGUCUCUUAUAC
rnacentral:rRNA from 1 species